rnacentral:rRNA from 1 species
GGCCAGACUCCUACGGGAGGCAGCAGUGGGGAAUAUUGCACAAUGGGGGGAACCCUGAUGCAGCGACGCCGCGUGGGUGAAGAAGUCAUUCGUGACGUAAAGCCCUAUCAGCAGGGAAGAAAAUGACGGUACCCGACUAAGAAGCCCCGGCUAACUACGUGCCAGCAGCCGCGGUAAUACGUAGGGGGCAAGCGUUAUCCGGAUUUACUGGGUGUAAAGGGAGCGUAGGCGGUUAGAUAAGUCUGAUGUGAAAGCCCACAGCUUAACUGUGGGAUUGCAUUGGAAACUAUAGAACUAGAGUGUCGGAGAGGUAAGUGGAAUUCCUAGUGUAGCGGUGAAAUGCGUAGAUAUUAGGAGGAACACCAGUGGCGAAGGCGGCUUACUGGACGAUGACUGACGCUGAGGCUCGAAAGCGUGGGGAGCAAACAGGAUUAGAUACCCGCGUA